rnacentral:tRNA from 1 species
AGCUCAGUGGUAGAGCACGUGCUUGGCAUGCACAAGGUCCUGGAUUCAAUCCCCAG